rnacentral:misc_RNA from 1 species
AAUUCUCAACCUUAUCGGCUUUUAUUGGUUGUUUAGGCUUGGAUGUGGGAGUUUUGUGGGCUUCUUAAGAGGUCGACUCUCCUUAAAUUCAUUAGCGGGACCGUUUUGGUUGCCCUAGCCCUAGUGUGAUAAUUAUCUACGCUAUUGCUCAAGGUGACUUGGUGCAGCUUCUAAUCGUCUCUUUCAUCGAGACAAUUUAUAUGACA